AGUGAACGCUGGCGGUAGGCCUAACACAUGCAAGUCGAACGGCAGCACAGUAAGAGCUUGCUCUUACGGGUGGCGAGUGGCGGACGGGUGAGGAAUACAUCGGAAUCUACUUUUUCGUGGGGGAUAACGUAGGGAAACUUACGCUAAUACCGCAUACGACCUACGGGUGAAAGCAGGGGAUCUUCGGACCUUUCGCGAUUGAAUGAGCCGAUGUCGGAUUAGCUAGUUGGCGGGGUAAAGGCCCACCAAGGCGACGAUCCGUAGCUGGUCUGAGAGGAUGAUCAGCCACACUGGAACUGAGACACGGUCCAGACUCCUACGGGAGGCAGCAGUGGGGAAUAUUGGACAAUGGGCGCAAGCCUGAUACAGCCAUACCGCGUGGGUGAAGAAGGCCUUCGGGUUGGAAAGCCCUUUUGUUGGGAAAGAAAAGCAGCAGGUUAAUACCCCGCUGUUAUGACGGUACCCAAAGAAUAAGCACCGGCUAACUUCGUG
rnacentral:rRNA from 1 species